UACGAAGGGGGCUAGCGUUGCUCGGAAUCACUGGGCGUAAAGGGCGCGUAGGCGGCGUUUUUAAGUCGGGGGUGAAAGCCUGUGGCUCAACCACAGAAUGGCCUCGAUACUGGGACGCUUGAGUAUGGUAGAGGUUGGUGGAACUGCGAGUGUAGAGGUGAAAUUCGUAGAUAUUCGCAAGAACACCGGUGGCGAAGGCGGCGACCUGGUCCAUUACUGACGCUGAGGCGCGACAGCGUGGGGGAGCAAACAGG
rnacentral:rRNA from 1 species